GAUGAACGCUGGCGGCGUGCCUAAUACAUGCAAGUCGAGCGAACAGACGAGGAGCUUGCUCCUCUGACGUUAGCGGCGGACGGGUGAGUAACACGUGGAUAACCUACCUAUAAGACUGGGAUAACUUCGAGAAACCGGAGCUAAUACCGGAUAAUAUAUUGAACCGCAUGGUUCAAUAGUGACAGACGGUUUUGCUGUCACUGAUAGAUGGAUCCGCGCCGCAUUAGCUAGUUGGUAAGGUAACGGCUUACCAAGGCAGCGGUGCGUAGCCGACCCGAGCGGGGGUCCGGCCACACUGGGACUGAGACACGGUCCAGACUCCGACGGGAGGCAGCAGUAGGGAAUCUUGCGCAAUGGGAGAAAGCCUGACGGAGCAACGCCGCGGAAGUGAUGAAGGUCUUCGGAUCUGAAAACUCUGUUAUUAGGGAAGAACAAAUGUGUAAGUAAGUAUGCACGUCUUGACGGUACCUAAUCAGAAAGCCACGGCUAACUACGUG
rnacentral:rRNA from 1 species